AUUUUAUCAUUAAAAAAAAACCCUGAAUUUUCUUGAUCUUUUCUAUUGUCUUUCUGGUUUCUAUUUCAUUUUUUUUCUGUUCUGAUCUUUAUCAUUUCCUUCCUUGUGCUGACUUUGGGCUUAGUUUGUUCUUUUUAUAGUUCCUUGAAGUGUAAAAUUAGGUUGUUUAUUUGCAGUCUCUCUUUUUUCUUUACGUAAGCAUUUAUCACUAUAAACCUCUCUCAGAAAUGCUUUUUCUGUGUCCCAUAAGUUUUGCUAUGUUGUGUUUCUGUGUUCACUUGUUUUGAUGUUUAUUUUAUUUUGAUUUUUUUCUUUGACCUUUGGUUGUUCAGGAGUGUUUUACUUAAUUGCCAUUUAUUAGCGAAUUUUCUUCCUGCUAUUGAUUUCUAGUUUCUUACCAUUGUGGUAAAAAGAGAGACCAGUCUUCUUAAAUUUUUAAGAUUUAUUUUGUGGACUAAUAUAUAAUCCAUCCUGGAAAAUGUUCCAUGUCCCCCCAAGAAGAAUGUGAGAUCUUAUGCUGUUGGAUAGAAUGUUCUAUGAGUAUAUAUAGUAUAUAUAUGGCUCAUUUGGUCUGUAGUGUUUAACUCCACUGUUUAUCUAUAGGUUUUCUGUUUAGAUAAUCUGCCCAUUGUUGAAAGUAGAAUAUUGAAAUCCCCUACUAAAGUAUUGCUGACUAUUUUUCUCUUCAGUUCUGUUAAUAUUUGUUUUGUAUAUUUAGGUGUUACAGUGUUGAGUGUAUCAUAUUUAUAAUUAUGUCCUCUUGAUGAAUUGACCCUUUUAUCAUUAUAUAAUGACCUUCUUAGUUUCUUUUUACAUUUUAACUUAAAACCUAUUUUGUGUAAGAAUAGCCACCCCCCAUCCCCUUUGUGUGUGUGUGUGUGU
rnacentral:lncRNA from 1 species